rnacentral:rRNA from 1 species
GACGAACGCUGGCGGCGUGCUUAACACAUGCAAGUCGAACGGUGAAGCGCCUUCCUUUUUGGUGGGUGUGGAUGAGUGGCGAACGGGUGAGUAACACGUGAGUAACCUGCCCCCUUCUUCUGGAUAACCGCAUGAAAGUGUGGCUAAUACGGGAUAUUCUGGGUCUGUCGCAUGAUGGGUCUGGGAAAGAUAUUGUUUCGGUGGGGGAUGGGCUCGCGGCCUAUCAGCUUGUUGGUGGGGUGAUGGCCUACCAAGGCGGUGACGGGUAGCCGGCCUGAGAGGGUGGACGGUCACACUGGGACUGAGACACGGCCCAGACUCCUACGGGCGGCAGCAGUGGGGAAUAUUGCACAAUGGGCGCAAGCCUGAUGCAGCGACGCCGCGUGAGGGAUGGAGGCCUGCGGGUUGUGAACCUCUUUCGACAGUGAAGCAGGCCUGCCUCGUUUGUGGGUGGGUUGACGGUAGCUGGAUAAGAAGCGCCGGCUAACUACGUG